UACGUAGGCAGCAAGCGUUGUUCGGAAUUACUGGGCGUAAAGAGUGUGUAGGCGGUGCUCUAAGUCUGUUGUGAAAUCUCCCGGCUUAACCGGGAGGGUGCGGCGGAAACUGGAGUGCUUGAGGGUGGGAGAGGUAAGCGGAAUUCCUGGUGUAGCGGUGAAAUGCGUAGAUAUCAGGAGGAACACCAAUGGCGAAGGCAGCUCGCUGGGACGGUACUGACGCUGAGGCGCGAAAGCGUGGGGAGGCGAACAGG
rnacentral:rRNA from 1 species